rnacentral:rRNA from 1 species
CGUUUGACCUCGGAUCAGGUAGGGAUACCCGCUGAACUUAAGCAUAUCAAUAAGCGGAGGAAAAGAAACCAACAGGGAUUGCCCUAGUAACGGCGAGUGAAGCGGCAACAGCUCAAAUUUGAAAUCUGGCUCUUUUAGGGUCCGAGUUGUAAUUUGCAGAGGGCGCUUUGGCUUUGGCAGCGGUCCAAGUUCCUUGGAACAGGACGUCACAGAGGGUGAGAAUCCCGUACGUGGUCGCUAGCUAUUGCCGUGUAAAGCCCCUUCGACGAGUCGAGUUGUUUGGGAAUGCAGCUCUAAAUGGGAGGUAAAUUUCUUCUAAAGCUAAAUAUUGGCCAGAGACCGAUAGCGCACAAGUAGAGUGAUCGAAAGAUGAAAAGCACUUUGGAAAGAGAGUCAAACAGCACGUGAAAUUGUUGAAAGGGAAGCGCUUGCAGCCAGACUUGCUUGCAGUUGCUCAUCCGGGCUUUUGCCCGGUGCACUCUUCUGUAGGCAGGCCAGCAUCAGUUUGGGCGGUGGGAUAAAGGUCUCUGACACGUUCCUUCCUUCGGGUUGGCCAUAUAGGGGAGACGUCAUACCACCAGCCUGGACUGAGGUCCGCGCAUCUGCUAGGAUGCUGGCGUAAUGGCUGUAAGCGGCCCGUCUUGAAACACGGACCAAGGAGUCUAACAUCUAUGCGAGUGUUUGGGUGUCAAGCCCGAGCGCGUAAUGAAAGUGAACGGAGGUGGGAACCCGCAAGGGCGCACCAUCGACCGAUCCUGAAGUUUACGGAAGGAUUUGAGUAAGAGCAUGGCUGUUGGGGACCCGAAAGAUGGUGAACUAUGCUUGAAAUAGGGUGAAGCCAGAAGGAAACUCUGGUGGAGGCUCGCAGCGG